CUCAUCCUUACAUAGCACUGCCAGGUUAGGGCUUUCUCCCCAUAUUGCAGAUGAUAAAGCUGACAAUAGUGGAAGCUCAAUUUGUUCGAAGUUUAUUAUGUGUCCCAGAACUGUUUUAAGCACUUGACUUGCAGAACACCGUUUAACUCUUAUGAGAAUGAGGUAGGUAGUAUUACUUUUAUUUUAUUAAUGCAGGAACUAUAUUAUAGAAGUUAAAAGACCUGCCUAAGUCUGGUAAGUGGCAGAGCAAAGAUUCAAACCCAGGCCUUUCUGAUUCUAAGCUCCAGGCUCUUUCCCAUCCAUCUCUUCCUCCAUCCAUCCAAUUUAUUAUUGUGCUUCUCAAGCUGAGGUGCCUUCCAAAAAUAGCAGUUUGGAAAAUGUAAUCAAUGGCCCAAGAUAAAUAUGACCUGUCUUCCUGGAGUGCUAAUUUUACUCAGUAGGGUUUUUUUGGGUGGGCAGUGGGUGGCAACAUAAUUUGCCUAUUAAAGUUUGCAUCUUUUGAAGAAGAAAAGUACAAAGAAAAAAACUAAAAUAUUUUCAUCAAGGCAAAGUUCAAAUAAAAUUUUAGGCUGGGCACAGUGGCUCACACCUAUAAUCCCAGUACUUUGGGAGGCCAAGGUGAGCGGAUCCCUUGAACUCAGGAGUUUGAGACCAGCCUGGGCAACACAGCGAGACCACGUAUAGAAAGAAAAGAGAGAAAGACAUGAAGGGAAGAAAAGGGAGGGAGGGAAGGAGGGAGGAAAGCAGGAAGACAGGAAAAAAAGUUUUUUUUUUUUGAGAUGGAGUCUCACUCUGUUGCCCAAGUUGGAAUGCAAUGGCACGAUCUCAGCUCACCACAACCUCCGCCUCCUGGGUUCAAGCGAUUUUCCUGCCUCAGCCUCCCAAGUAGCUGGGAUUAUAGCCAUGCGCCACCACGUUCAGCUAAUUUUGUAUUUUUAGUAGAGACAGGGUUUCUCCAUGUUGGUCAGGCUGGUCUCGAACUCCCAACCUCAGGUGAUUCACCUGCCUCAGCCUCCCAAAGUGCUGGGAUUACAGGUGUGAGCCACCACACCUGGCAGGAGGGAGAUUUUUAAAGAAAACCUGAGAAACUUCAGAGACUCCCAGCUGGCAGAGCUCAGAUUCCCACACGCUGGGGGCUCUGAGUCAGUUUCCUGUCUAUAUGAGGAUGUUUAAGAAGCCUGCCCUGCUGGAAGGGAUGCUGUCUAUGAGGCUGAGUUACCUGCCCAAGAUCAGAAUCAGGAUCUGAA
rnacentral:lncRNA from 1 species